AGUGAACGCUGGCGGUAGGCCUAACACAUGCAAGUCGAACGGCAGCAUAGUAAGAGCUUGCUCUUACGGGUGGCGAGUGGCGGACGGGUGAGGAAUACAUCGGAAUCUACUUUUUCGUGGGGGACAACGUAGGGAAACUUACGCUAAUACCGCAUACGACCUACGGGUGAAAUCAGGGGAUCUUCGGACCUUGCGCGACUGAAUGAGCCGAUGUCGGAUUAGCUAGUUGGCGGGGUAAAGGCACACCAAGGCGACGAUCCGUAGCUGGUCUGAGAGGAUGAUCAGCCACACUGGAACUGAGACACGGUCCAGACUCCUACGGGAGGCAGCAGUGGGGAAUAUUGGACAAUGGGCGCAAGCCUGAUCCAGCCAUACCGCGUGGGUGAAGAAGGCCUUCGGGUUGUAAAGCCCUUUUGUUGGGAAAGAAAAGCAGCAGGUUAAUACCCCGCUGUUCUGACGGUACCCAAAGAAUAAGCACCGGCUAACUUCGUG
rnacentral:rRNA from 1 species